rnacentral:rRNA from 2 species
UACGUAGGGUGCGAGCGUUAAUCGGAAUUACUGGGCGUAAAGCGUGCGUAGGCGGUUCGUUAUGUCUGCUGUGAAAGCCCCGGGCUCAACCUGGGAAUGGCAGUGGAAACUGGCGGGCUGGAGGGUGGCAGAGGGGGGUGGAAUUCCGCGUGUAGCAGUGAAAUGCGUAGAGAUGCGGAGGAACACCGAUGGCGAAGGCAGCCCCCUGGGCCGACCCUGACGCUCAGGCACGAAAGCGUGGGGAGCAAACAGG